UAAAGUUCUGGGUCACAUUCCUUUUUAGCUGGGCUGUGCUUUAGGUUUAUUGUGGUCGACUUGUUUUACUUUGUUGUACAUUAAGAAUGCUAAAAAGCAGAGCAGUGAGCUUAUUACUAUGGUGGAAAUAAACCGAUUACUUUGUAAGCAAAAGCCAAAGGGAUAUUAAAGGAGAACUGAAGGUUUAAGAUGGAUGGAAUGUGUGAACGAUGAAUCUGUGUGAUAUGCCAUAGUAAGGCAAGAUCUCUUUGGAGAUGGAUGUUAAAAUGUCUGCGAUUCCCAAGCUGUAACCUGCAGUGAGGACCACGGCUUGAUUUCUACUGUGCCGCAGUGGGAUGUGGGCCUACUGAACUGAUAAUAAAAAAACAAAGUGUUUUUUUUAGCUGGCCUUAAAAAGCUUUAGCUUGGGUUCCUGCUCUUCUCCUCACUCUGCAGAGAGGUGUAGUAGGCACCCAUAGCCCUGUGGGUAUGUCGCUCUUGGGUUUGCAUAUCCAGUGAAUGACAUACUCCUGCAAACGUGUUUCGAUGUGCAGAGAAGGCGUAUGCCUGCCUUCAUCCCUACCAAGUUGGCAUUGUGCAUUGACAGGGAUUAUAAUCAGAUUAUGACUGAAAUCCAGGGCAGAAUGGAAUGAAAUCCACAGGCCUAAGAGCACAGGUGUCUGUGUCCCAGGAAGCCGAGCUACUGAAGUCACAGGUGUCCUUUACUGAGGGUAGGAACUCCAAGCACCAUUGCCAAGCCGAGGGACCUCACCACUCGUGCACAAUGGGAUUUUUUUCAGGGUGUCACUGCAGCUCAGCAGGGAGUCGGGGUCCGGGACUGUUGGCGUCUACACAACCCCAACGGAGGACUGAUCAUGGAAGGAAACGGGAAGCAGGGAAGGGAUUUGAAGAACAUCACCAUAGAAUGGAGGAAGUGAGCAUCGCAGGGCUUUUUCGGAUAACAGGGAAGAAAUUUUCACAGUGUCUCAGCCGGAGUUGUACGGUUAGGACGAUUGUGUGUCUGGGACAGUCCAUGCGGAGCGGACAGGAACGGUGGAGUCAGUAUGGACAGAAGUUUCAACGAGUAGAAUCGAUACCUAAGCCCACGCCCAAGUUCUGGAGAUGCUCAAAUCUUUCUGCUAGCAUCAGAUUGACGGAAAAGAGCACGUUUCGUGAGUGCCCGCGGCAUUGGCCGCACCACGUCGAGGAAAGGACUUGGGGUGACACCGAAUCGGCUGACUCACCGAACUGGCAUAACCGGAUUUUCUCCAGGGAGAAAAAUAAACUACCCUACCUUUAUCUAAACAUCUGGGGCAUGCAGUUGCAAAGGGCAACUCGAGAAGUGGCAUCGGAAGGAAUGAUGAGUGACAUCACAGAACAACUCCUUGAGAGGGACACACAUUGU